UUGUCUUCUUAUCACUCGUAUAUUUUAAUUUUAGACGUUUAUUCUUUUUUUUGCAGCUCCUAGAGGCUCCACUGGACUGUUCAUUUACAAAGUUAAGAAGUUUUACGAUCACUGGAGGUGGAAUGACGUGGGUGGGAGUAAGAGGAAGAGAGGUGGAGACAACAGGCUGGGAAAGAAGAAGAAACUUUCUGGAAAUGAUGAAUGUAGCGUAACUGUGGCGGAGUCCACUGGAUUUCUAGACGAUAAUUACGUGAGAAGGGUGCAUAGGGAUUACAAAAACUUUGGUGAUGAGCUGGCUGUGCUGUGGUGCACUACCGUAGGCUCACUUGAAUCAGCUUUGGCUUCUAUGUUCUACCAAACUUGCACAUCUUGUGUCUAUAUUAGAAAACUUGAAGACUUUUAUGUCUUACCAAACUUUAGAAACUUGUAUAUCUUUUUCUAGUACUUGGACGGAAGAUCAAAUGAUAAUAGCUGGGAUGAUUGGAUAACCAUAAUUCUCUAUUUGUCUCACUGUUUUUCUUUUUCUUUUCUGGGGGUUAGGAUUUGAUCUCAGAGUAAUCGUAAUCUUCAACAAGAUGGGAAUAGAGAGAGAAAAAGAGGGUUUUCGAUGUGGAUUUGGUGAUAAGAUUGCUCUAAAAUGUUUGUUCGUGAGAAAUUGAAUCACAGAAGAUGAAAGAAGACUGGGAAAGAGUUGACUGGUAAGUAUUUGAGAGAGAUAUCUCCAGGCCAAACUUUUGAAGUGUCAAAGGUUCUUCAAGUUGCAGAGAGUUUACCAGAUUCAGAUAGAGAUUGGUUUGACGAGAGAGUUUAUAUUUCGUAUUCUAACUUGUAUUUUUUUUUUUGGAUC